rnacentral:rRNA from 1 species
GACGGAGGGCGCUAGCGUUGUUCGGAAUCACUGGGCGUAAAGGGCGCGCAGGCGGCCUCGUCAGUCGGGCGCGAAAGCCCGGGGCUCAACCCCGGAACGGCGCCCGGGACGGCGGGGCUGGAGGCCGGGAGAGGGCGGUGGAAUACCCAGUGUAGAGGUGAAAUUCGUAGAUAUUGGGUGGAACACCAGUGGCGAAGGCGACUUUCUGGCUCGAUACUGACGCUAAGGCGCGAAAGCGUGGGGAGCAAACAGG